rnacentral:lncRNA from 1 species
UCAUCUUUAUGUCUUCAAUUUCGUCCAUUCCUUUAGUUCCAAGCAUGUGAUAUUUAUUCCAAGCCCAAAAUUGCUCCAAAAGGCUCUAAAAUGCACAUUUUUGCAUACUUUGUCCUUAGAACCUGAAAUUGUACAAAAAUGACUUUAAACACUAAAACUACUAAGGAAUAACAACAUAAAUGCAUGAGAACAAGCUAACUUAGUCUCAUAAAUAUGCUCCUAUCAAAUUCCCCCACACUUAGCUUUUGCUAGUCCUCGAGCAAAACAAAAGAAACAAACGAAUCAAAACAAACAGAACAUAACUUAACCUUCCAACAUUUGCCUCAGGGAUUUGCAAUGCACAUGACAUGUUAAAAAUCAUCAUUCCCACAGCUUUUAGUCAUGUUUACACUUAAGCACAUACUUAAUUACAGUCACCACUUACUAGUUCGCAAUUAACCAAUUAAAACGAUAUUUUGAAUGUAGUAAUAUGCCUUAGAGAAUUUGCUCAAUUCCUUACAAGAUACUCUCUAUUUUCACACACAUUUUCUGACUACACACCUUACACUAGUUAUAUGUGAGCGAUUGAUGUAAACAUGGAAGACUAGUACUCACAUAUGUUAUAACAAAGAAAGCAAUUUCUGGAGUUAAUAAGCAUGUUUAGAUAUGAUCUCAUGAAUGGAAUGUUACUACUUAGAUGCGAGAACCAGUGACACCAUAUGCUCAUACCAAUUUCAAACUCCACGAAUUGAAACACACGACACUCAAGAUUGAAGUCAAGGGUUGUAACGGGGCUUGGGGGUAAUGGCUAACAAAGAAAGGAUAGGGAUAGCAAACAUUCUUAAAGCGAUAGCAGGCAAAGUAAUGAAAUAGACACUUGGAAUUCACUUAAUAAUGCAGAAAUUAACUUUUAAACACAAAGGGAAGAUUCAAGCAACACUUAGGGCCGAAUUCAAUGUUUUGGACCCUUUUUUAACAAACUUUUUUCUUUUCACUCUUUUUUUUUUCCCCCAUACCUUAUUAAGGACUUUGGCGCACACACACACACACACACACACACAAGAAUCACUUCCCCCACACUUGCUUUCUGCAUACAUUGAUAAAUAAAUAAAAUAAAAAAUUCAUUUUAAGUCAUGCUUUACUAUGCUUCAAGAAC